rnacentral:rRNA from 1 species
UACGAAGGGGGCUAGCGUUGUUCGGAAUUACUGGGCGUAAAGCGCACGUAGGCGGAAUGUUAAGUCAGGGGUGAAAUCCCGGGGCUCGACCCCGGAACUGCCUUUGAUACUGGCAUUCUCGAGUCCGGAAGAGGUGAGUGGAAUUCCGAGUGUAGAGGUGAAAUUCGUAGAUAUUCGGAGGAACACCAGUGGCGAAGGCGGCUCACUGGUCCGGUACUGACGCUGAGGUGCGAAAGCGUGGGGAGCAAACAGG